AGCGAAUUUCACAGCUAAGCUUUUUUGCACUUGCCUAGUGAAGAAAGCUUUAGGUGCUGAAAUUCUUUAGAGAAAAUCCAGAAAUGAGUCAUUCAUCUAAGCAACACCAGUGAGCUGCCAUAAAGACUUGCCAGUAGUAGUGGAUCUUCUCUGAGCAUCAAAAGAUUGCAGUGUAAGUUCCUGGUAUUCAGAAUUCAGAUCAGAGCCUUUAUCAACAACUGAGCUCUACCACUGUGCACAGUGGUGGAACUGGACACUUCCAUCCUUACAGGCAUUGGAAUGUGUGAACGCUGCAGUGAUUCAUGGCAUAUGCUUCUAUGCCAUUAUCAGCCAAGCCAACUGAUCUAGGAAAAGAGGUAAUAAAGGAAGCUUUUUCUCCCCCUUCCACCUUUCCCCUCCCUGGAGGGGACAGAAGAGAUGAACUGAAAACAAUGUGAGUCUCCUGCAAGAGAAGGUGGCAAAGAGCAAGAGGGUUUGGCAAAGGAGAGGUAAAGAAGAACAUGUCUGUCACCUUUAAACCUUCCUCACUAAAAAUAAAAAAGAAAAAAAAGUUAAAUGGAAGAAGACAUAACUCAUGGGAGGUGAUGCUUUGAGGGAGUAAUAUACUCUGUCCACUCAUUAGACAAAUGUUGGAAAAUAAGUGUGCUUUACAUGUUGCUUCAUAGCUAUUUUUUUUAAGUUUGGGAAUGGACAAGUAGGCUCAAGGGGAAUUUUGACCACAGAUC